GGGGGCAGUGAGAGGCAUAGAGGUGUCUGUGAGGGGGGCAGUGAGAGGCAUAGAGGUGUCUGUGAGGGGGGCAGUGAGAGGCAUAGAGGUGUCUGUGAGGGGGGCAGUGAGAGGCAUAGAGGUGUCUGUGAGGGGGGCAGUGAGAGGCAUAGAGGUGUCUGUGAGGGGGGCAGUGAGAGGCAUAGAGGUGUCUGUGAGGGGGGCAGUGAGAGGCAUAGAGGUGUCUGUGAGGGGGGCAGUGAGAGGCAUAGAGGUGUCUG